rnacentral:rRNA from 1 species
GACGAACGCUGGCGGCGUGCCUAACACAUGCAAGUCGAACGGAACUGUUUUGAAAGUUUUCUUCGGAAUGAAUUCGAUCUAGUUUAGUGGCGGACGGGUGAGUAACGCGUGAGUAACCUUCCUUCAAGAGGGGAAUAACAUUCUGAAAAGAAUGCUAAUACCGCAUGACAUAUCGGAACCACAUGGUUUUGAUAUCAAAGAUUUUAUCGCUUGAAGAUGGACUCGCGUCCGUUUAGUUAGUUGGUGAGGUAACGGCUCACCAAGACCGCGAUCGGUAGCCGGACUGGGAGAUUGGACGGCCACAUUGGGACUGAGGCACGGCCCAGACUCCUACGGGAGGCGGCAGUGGGAGAUAUUGCGCGAUGGGGGCAAGCCUGACGCAGCAACGCCGCGUGAAGGAUGAAGGUUUUCGGAUUGUAAACUUCUUUUAUUAAGGACGAAAAAUGACGGUACUUAAUGAAUAAGCUCCGGCUAACUACGUG